UACGUAGGGAGCGAGCGUUGUCCGGAAUCAUUGGGCGUAAAGAGCAUGUAGGUGGUUCAAUUAGUCUGCUGUGAAAGUCAAAGGCUCAACCUUUGAAAGCCGGUGGAUACUGUUGAUCUAGAGUACGGAAGAGGCGAGUGGAAUUCCUGGUGUAGCGGUGGAAUGCGCAGAUAUCAGGAGGACCACCAAUAGCGAAGGCAGCUCGCUGGAACGUUACUGACACUGAGAUACGAAAGCGUGGGGAGCAAACAGG
rnacentral:rRNA from 1 species